UGCUUAUUUGAUGUGCAAUUUAGGGAAC
rnacentral:sRNA from 1 species